CGGGGUGUAGCGCAGUCUGGUUAGCGCGCCUCGUUCGGGACGAGGAGGUCGGAGGUUCGAAUCCUCUCACCCCGA
rfam:Jonquetella anthropi DSM 22815 chromosome, whole genome shotgun sequence.